UAUAUAUUUGUAUAUAUGUGUGUAUAUGUGUGUGUGUUUAUGUGUGUAUAUGUGUGUGUUGAAUGUGUAUAUAUGUGUGUGUAUGUAUAUGUGUGUGUGUGUAUA
rnacentral:miRNA from 10 species